rnacentral:lncRNA from 1 species
UGUUAAAACCCUAACCGGCAAGACCAUCACCCUUGAGGUUGAAAGCUCAGACACCAUAGACAAUGUCAAGGCUAAGAUCCAGGACAAGGAGGGGAUCCCUCCAGAUCAGCAAAGGUUGAUCUUUGCUGGGAAGCAACUUGAAGAUGGCAGAACUCUGGCGGACUAUAACAUCCAGAAGGAAUCCACCCUCCACUUGGUGCUCCGUCUGCGUGGUGGAAUGCAGAUCUUUGUGAAGACCCUUACCGGAAAGACCAUUACUCUGGAAGUCGAAAGCUCCGACACUAUUGAUAAUGUCAAGGCUAAGAUCCAGGAUAAGGAAGGUAUUCCCCCGGACCAGCAGAGGCUGAUCUUUGCAGGCAAGCAGCUUGAGGAUGGCCGUACUCUGGCUGACUAUAACAUUCAGAAGGAGUCAACCCUACACUUGGUGCUUCGUCUUCGUGGUGGGAUGCAAAUAUUUGUGAAGACCCUUACUGGAAAGACAAUUACAUUGGAGGUUGAGGGCUCUGAUACCAUUGACAAUGUGAAGGCAAAAAUUCAGGACAAGGAGGGUAUUCCUCCAGACCAGCAGAGGCUUAUUUUUGCUGGUAAGCAAUUGGAGGAUGGAAGGACCCUUGCUGACUACAACAUUCAGAAGGAGUCUACUCUUCACUUGGUGCUGAGGCUAAGGGGUGGUAUGCAAAUCUUUGUGAAGACAUUGACCGGAAAGACAAUUACAUUGGAGGUGGAGAGCUCAGAUACCAUUGACAAUGUGAAGGCAAAGAUCCAGGAUAAGGAGGGGAUCCCACCAGACCAGCAGAGGUUGAUUUUUGCUGGGAAGCAGUUGGAAGACGGGAGGACUUUGGCUGACUACAACAUUCAAAAGGAGUCUACCCUUCACCUUGUCCUUCGUCUCCGUGGUGGUUUCUGAGUCUUGUCUGUUUGGUAUCUGGUGACUAUGGUCUUGUGGUACUUGGUCACUUUUAUGUUGCAGUUUUUAAUAUUCUGUUAUUAAGUGGUUGUGUUUUGUGUGGAAGGUGAAGCGGUGAACUAUGUAGUAGCAUAUUUAAUGGAGUAGUAAUAACGAAGGGUAGAUCUUGCUCUAAAAGUCAUGAAUUCUAUAAAAAGUUUAUAUUUUUUGCAACAGUCCAUAUAUCUCAGGUGUGGUGACUUUU